rnacentral:rRNA from 2 species
AUUGAACGCUAGCGGGAUGCCUUACACAUGCAAGUCGAACGGCAGCACGGACUUCGGUCUGGUGGCGAGUGGCGAACGGGUGAGUAAUGUAUCGGAACGUGCCUAGUAGCGGGGGAUAACUACGCGAAAGCGUAGCUAAUACCGCAUACGCCCUACGGGGGAAAGCAGGGGAUCGCAAGACCUUGCACUAUUAGAGCGGCCGAUAUCGGAUUAGCUAGUUGGUGGGGUAACGGCUCACCAAGGCGACGAUCCGUAGCUGGUUUGAGAGGACGACCAGCCACACUGGGACUGAGACACGGCCCAGACUCCUACGGGAGGCAGCAGUGGGGAAUUUUGGACAAUGGGGGAAACCCUGAUCCAGCCAUCCCGCGUGUGCGAUGAAGGCCUUCGGGUUGUAAAGCACUUUUGGCAGGAAAGAAACGUCAUGGGCUAAUACCCCGUGAAACUGACGGUAC